rnacentral:rRNA from 1 species
UACCAGCACCCCGAGUGGUCGGGACGAUUAUUGGGCCUAAAGCAUCCGUAGCCGGUUCUACAAGUCUUCCGUUAAAUCCACCUGCUUAACAGAUGGGCUGCGGAGGAUACUAUAGAGCUAGGAGGCGGGAGAGGCAAGCGGUACUUAGUGGGUAGGGGUAAAAUCCGCUGAUCCAUUGAAGACCACCGGUGGCGAAGGCGGCAU